UUGCUUCUGCUCCUCUCGCAACUAUUGGUUCAACUGAAGCUGCCAUUUAAUCUUCGAAUUAAUAUUUGGUACUAUCGAGCACCUGAAUUAAUAUUUGGUGCAACUAAAUACACCACAGCCAUUGACAUCUGUUCUAGGAGAAACUAAAAGAUAAGAAGGCAGAGUAUGAAGUGACUGCUUCGACUGAUAGUUCUGUUAAUUUUGAGGAUAUAGAUAAUAGAAUUAUUAAUGAAGUUUUGGGUCCAAAAAGGUAUGGUCGGG